rnacentral:tRNA from 1 species
UGUUGUGUGGUGUAACGGUUAGCAUCUCAGUCUUUGACACUGAUGGUAUAGGUUCGAAUCCUAUCUCAACAA